rnacentral:rRNA from 1 species
GACGAACGCUGGCGGCGUGCUUAACACAUGCAAGUCGAACGGAAAGGCCCCCUUGUGGGGUACUCGAGUGGCGAACGGGUGAGUAACACGUGAGUAACCUACCCUUGACUUUGGGAUAACUUCAGGAAACUGGGGCUAAUACCGGAUAGGAGCUCCUGCUGCAUGGUGGGGGUUGGAAAGUUUCGGCGGUUGGGGCUGGACUCGCGGCUUAUCAGCUUGUUGGUGGGGUAGUGGCUCACCAAGGCUUUGACGGGUAGCCGGCCUGCGAGGGUGACCGGCCACAUUGGGACUGAGGUACGGCCCAGACUCCUACGGGAGGCAGCAGUGGGGAAUAUUGCACAAUGGGCGGAAGCCUGAUGCAGCAACGCCGCGUGCGGGAUGACGGCCUUCGGGUUGUAAACCGCUUUCGCCUGUGACGAAGCGUGAGUGACGGUAAUGGGUAAAGAAGCACCGGCUAACUACGUG